AACGGGGCAAAGACAGGAUCGGACGUUCCGACCUGUAAAGGCCUCCGCGUGGUACAGACCGGGCACAGACCGGGAGCCCGGGCGGCAGAAGGCUAAGGACGCUUCUGUCUCAGCGCCUACCCACGCUGGUCUCCAGGUAGGUGCUCGGAGACCUGCCAUCCUUGGGAAACCCUCAGGCCCAAACAUGACUGGCAUUGCUCAGAAGAAAGAACAGACCCGUCCCGGAAACUGGUCUGGGCAGGAGAGGUUGAGAGCAGAGAAGGGCCCACUGCUGGCCUUCUAGCCAGGAGCAGGACAGACUGGCCCUGGGCCCUGGGGGCUGGCGCUGUUGCUUUGGAUACAGCCCUGUGACACCUUGGCCCACUUCACCCUGUGAAGGGCAUCCGGGAGCCCUCAGGGGGAUGAACCUUGUGCCUGCAGAUUUCCUAUGUCGAAGCCCUAAUCGCCAGGCCCUCCGAAUGUGACUGGAAUUGACGGCAGGGCCUUUGGAGAGCAGAGAAGCCUGGACGUCCAUCUCCCGAGGGCACCUGCCUCCGCCCCAACCUUCCCUCGGCCCGUCACCCCCUGGCUUGUGCAAAUGGGCUCCAGGGAAAAUCAGCAAAUGUGUCCUGACGAGCGAGUCAGAGGAGGAGUGGGGUUUCUGCCGUUUCGAGUUUGCCCAAGCAUGUGAAGAACACCCAGAAAUGCAAAGAUUGCACGAACAGGAAAGACUGGAACCGACGCCUGGAUCACAGACGGGUCACAAAAGGGAAAGGCACCUCCAGGGCACAAGGCAGGGACACAAGACCCCUUCAGGGGAAUUCUUGCCAGAUCCGGACUCGUGCCCUCAUCCUAACCGCGAGGAAACAAUCCGACCACACCAUGGGACAUUUCAAGAAAUGACUGGUCUGCGGACGACUGGCUGGCUGGGUCGGUGGAGCAUGUGACUCUUGGUCUUGGGGUUGUGAGUUUGAGUCCCAUGUUGGGUGUAGAGAUUACUU